AGAAAGGAUGCUUUUGCAUCCAAACACAAUGUAAAAAAAAAAAAA
rfam:Tupaia chinensis contig232372, whole genome shotgun sequence.